rnacentral:rRNA from 1 species
UACGGGGGGGAGCAAGCGUUGUUCGGAUUUACUGGGCGUAAAGGGCGCGUAGGCGGCCACCGCAAGUCGACUGUGAAAUCUCCGGGCUUAACCCGGAAAGGUCAGCCGAUACUGCGGGGCUAGAGUGCAGAAGGGGCAACUGGAAUUCUCGGUGUAGCGGUGAAAUGCGUAGAUAUCGAGAGGAACACCUGCGGCGAAGGCGGGUUGCUGGGCUGACACUGACGCUGAUGCGCGAAAAGCUAGGGGAGCGAACGGG